rnacentral:rRNA from 1 species
CCUUGACAUACUAAGAACUUUCCAGAGAUGGAUUGGUGCCUUCGGGAACUUAGAUACAGGUGCUGCAUGGCUGUCGUCAGCUCGUGUCGUGGAGAUGUUGGGUUAAGUCCCGNAACGAGCGCAACCCUUUUCCUUAUUUGCCAGCGGGUCAUGCCGGGAACUUUAAGGAUACUGCCAGUGACAAACUGGAGGAAGGCGGGGACGACGUCAAGUCAUCAUGGCCCUUACGGCCAGGGCUACACACGUGCUACAAUGGUCGGUACAAAGGGUUGCUACCUCGCGAGAGGAUGCUAAUCUCAAAAAGCCGAUCGUAGUCCGGAUCGCAGUCUGCAACUCGACUGCGUGAAGUCGGAAUCGCUAGUAAUCGCGGAUCAGAAUGCCGCGGUGAAUACGUUCCCGGGCCUUGUACACACCGCCCGUCACACCAUGGGAGUUUGUUGCACCAGAAGUAGGUAGUCUAACCGCAAGGAGGACGCUUACCACGGUGUGGCCGAUGACUGGGGUGAAGUCGUAACAAGGUAGGCGUAGAUGA